AACGCUUGCUUACGCUGUAGAUGUUAUUUUCUGUGCAAAUGCAAGCGUCUAUUGAUAACGAAACGAUAAUUUGUCAACAAUGAGAAUCAGAUACUUGGCUUAAUAAUUUUCAUUUAAAAUGUCUAAUUUGGAUAUAAUUCGGAAUACAAAACGAAACUUAAAAGGUAUUGAAAACAACAACGUUCAAAAGAACAAUGUGGAUUUCAAUAGAAAGACUAUUUCCACCGACAAUCAGGAUUUCCGGUAUGACCACUGUUAUUUUGACGAUUUUUCUAUCGGUUCGUUGGUAAGCGUGACCACAUGUGACAACAGCGAUGCUAGUUGGAUAUAAAAUUGGUAGACGUGUCGUUGAACGCGACACAUUGACCGAAUCGCUUUUAGCAUGCAGUGCUUGUCAAGUGCCCAUGAAUUUACUUAACACUGUAGAAAGCAUGGAUUUCGGACAGGCAUGUGUUUUGGACAUACAGUUUAGCAAUUGUGGUGCAGUAAAUAAUGCGGCUACUGGACGGAAACAUGGCAGAGUUUAUGACAUGAUCACAAAGCUUGCAUUUAGGUAAAUCAAAAACUGGGUGUUUCACCUGGGACUUUCACAUCGAAACUGGCCCUUCUCCAUGACCUUCAGCACAAAAAAGAAAGGCUAUAGCUGUUACUCGUGCAGCAAAACAGUGACGCAUAAGACUUAAAACUCGAACGGCAUUCAAAGGACAGUGCAAGAAGUACGAGCGGGACCAACAUACAGUUCAAACAUAGAGGACCAAGACGUUGAAGUUACAACUAUACCCCCACCUAUACCCAAGCCUGGUCCAGCAGGGCUAGACACUACUGGGAAGGAAUUUGUUUUCUUUGAUUUGGAAACAAGAGGGUUAGCACACUUCUCACAUAAUUCAGAUAGCUGCAGUGCAUUCAACUGGUCAAUUUUCAACAUAUGUGAUUCAUGAGAAGAAGAUUUCCUUGCAAGCGUCAGAAAUAACUGGAGUGACAGUUGUUAGCGACUCUAUGCUUGUCAAGAGACAAACAAUAACAGCUGUCCCCAUCAAAUCUGCAUUGACAAGUUUUAUAACAUUCUUACAGAAAUGUUUACCAAUUAUUUCAGUUGGGCAUAAUAUAGAGUCUUUUGAUUGUAAAGUGUUGCUCCGUGCUAUCCAUACUUGUUGAAAAAUGUUUGAGUUUCAGCAAAAUAUUUGUGGCUUUUUAGAUACUUAAAAAUGUUAAAGGAAAUAUUACCAAAUAUGAAAUCAUAUAAGCGGGAACAUUAAGUUAAAGAAUUCAUUGGUGAAUUAUACAUGGCACAUGGCGCUAUACAGGAUAUUUUAGCUUUACAAAAGUUAGUGAACUCUGUUCCUGUUGACCAAAAAUUGUUAACAAAUAUUCAUUCAGCUUUUACCGAGCAGUGUUAACAUACAAUGUGUAACUAAAUGUUGCUUCCAACAUCAAAUCUGUACAAACCAUAAUUGAUACAAAAGUUAUAAGUCAAGGUGUUGCAAGGAAAGUUGCAGGAAGUGGAUUUCAACUUAAACAUUUGAGUCCUGUAUCAAAAAGAAACGGACUGAGUGGUUUGAGAAGCCCCCUGUCAGAGGUUACAAACGGACAAAUCAGAGUAACAAAAUCAGAGAAAAUAAUAUGUACAAUAGCGAGUUAUUUGUUGCCUGACAUCUAACCAAUUGUAAUUUGCAUCUUGUAUAUAGAUAAGCUAUGAAAUCUAAUAGCUGUUACAUAAUUGUUUUUCCUUCUCGAUGACGAACAUAGUUGUGAUUCUUAUGUCAGUUGUAUUUCUCAUGUUUCACCUAAGUUGUAAGAUAUUUUUGGCAGUGCAUUAAACCACAGAUGGUGUGUGAAACAUAAUUGCCCAGCUUAUUGUAUUCUUUGUUGUUUUAAGCUUCACUGGCCAAAGGCCAGCGGGGCUUAUGUUAUGAUUCUGUGUCCGUCGUGCGUGCGUGCCUGAACGUUUUCUUUAAACAUCUUCUUCUCCUAAACUACUGGUCCAAUUGUGAUGAAAUUUCUUAGGAAUGUUCCUCUUUCAACGUUGUUCAAAUUAUGCCCCUGGGGUCAAAUUUGACCCUGCCCCGGGGUCACAAAAUUGAACAUAUGCUUAUAUAGGGUCUAUUUUGUGAAAACUUCACAUAUUUUUUCGUCCAUAACCAUUGGGCCUUGGGCUUCCAAAUUUGGUAUGUAGUGGCAUCUUAUAGUCCUCUACCAAGUUUGUUCAAAUUAUGCCCCUAGGGUCAAGUUUGACCCUGCCCUGAGGGUCACAAAAUUGAACGUAUGCUUAUAUAAGCCAUUUUUUGUGAAAACUUUAAAAAUCUUCUUGUUCAUAUUAGUAUGGCAUAGGGCUACCAAAUUUGGUAUGUAGUGACAUGUAAUAGUUCUCUACCAAGUUUGUUCAAAUUAUGCCCCUUGGGUUAAAUUUGAAACUGCCCCGGGGGUUACAAAACUGAACAUAUGCUUAUAAAGUGCUUAAUUUGUGAAAACUUUAAAAAAAAAUUGUCCAUAUCUAUUGGGCCUAGGGCUACCAAAUUUGGAAUGUAGUGACAUCUUAUAAACCUCUACCAAAUUUGUUCAAAUAAUGCCUCUGUGGUCAACUUUGACCCUGCCGCGGGGGGUCACAAAAUUUAAUAAACGCUUAUAAAGCGCCUAUUUUGUGAAAUCUUUAAAAAUCUUGUCGAAAACCAUUCUGACUAUGGCUACCAAAUUUGGUAUGCAGGAACAUCUUAAAGUCAUCUACCAAGUUUGUUACUUUGGGUCAAAUUUGACCCUGACCCGCGGGUCACAAAAUUGAACAUUAUAUACGCUUGUAUCUUGCUUAUUUUGUGAAAACUUUAAAAAUAUUCUUGUCCUUAACUCUACAUCUAAGACUUAGGGCCACCACAUUUUGUAUGGAGUGAGAUAUAGUAGUCCUCUACAAAGUUUGCUCAAAUUAUGCCCCUGGGGUUAAAUUUGACCCAGCCCAGGUGGUCACAAAAUUGUACAUGUGCUUAAAUAGGGCCUAUAUUUAAGUAUCUGCACAUGCGGAGAAUAUUUGUUUCAGUCUUUUUUUCAGCAGUGGAGCGAUACAGGGCCAUCAUGGCCUCUUGUCUUUAAAUACACAUCACACAGUUCUAAAAAUAAUUUUAAAAUACCUAGUACAUAUGUUCAAUUUACAACCAACAACGUGGGUAACAGGUGGGUGGGGUAAUUUAAGAUGUUUAUUUGAACAUCAACAUUGUUUUUUCAGUUGUUACAUCUGAAAUAUGUUCAUAACAAUAUACAUUAUAAAUAUUUUUACGUGUAUCACAUUUCAGUUGAUAAUUUAAUUGUUAUGGAGCAGUUAUUAUAUAGAUAUGUUUUAAUUACUAUUACAAUGUUAGUCAUUGUAUUUUUGAAAUUAAGUCCAUAUUAAAAUUUCUAUAGCAAAAAAAAAUCCACGGUGACCUAUCAAUUUCUUUACUUCAUUUUAAUGCUUAGCUAGUUUCCUUUAAUUAUUGAGAACUUCAAAUGAAUAUGAAUAUUACAUCAACAGAAAUAUGUAUCUGUAUUGCAUGUUAUCUAUUUUGAACUGUGCAAUAAAAAAUUCAAAACAAACAAAAAACUAGUCAUA